CGCCUUAUACUCCUACGGGAGGCAGCAGUGGGGAAUUUUGGACAAUGGGCGAAAGCCUGAUCCAGCAAUGCCGCGUGCAGGAUGAAGGCCUUCGGGUUGUAAACUGCUUUUGUACGGAACGAAAAAGCUCCUUCUAAUACAGUGGGCCCAUGACGGUACCGUAAGAAUAAGCACCGGCUAACUACGUGCCAGCAGCCGCGGUAAUACGUAGGGUGCGAGCGUUAAUCGGAAUUACUGGGCGUAAAGCGUGCGCAGGCGGUUAUGUAAGACAGAUGUGAAAUCCCCGGGCUCAACCUGGGAACUGCAUUUGUGACUGCAUGGCUAGAGUACGGUAGAGGGGGAUGGAAUUCCGCGUGUAGCAGUGAAAUGCGUAGAUAUGCGGAGGAACACCGAUGGCGAAGGCUAUCCCCUGGACCUGUACUGACGCUCAUGCACGAAAGCGUGGGGAGCAAACAGGAUUAGAUACCCUUGUAGUCCACGUACCA
rnacentral:rRNA from 1 species